AUUGAACGCUGGCGGCAGGCUUAACACAUGCAAGUCGAGCGAGCGGCGGACGGGUGAGUAAUGUCUGGGAAACCGCCUGCUGGAGGGGGAUAAAUACUGGAAACGGUAGAUAAUAACGCAUACCAUCAGAUGUGCCGAGAUGGGAUUAGCUAGUGGGUGGGGUAAUGGCUCACCUACGCGACGAUCCCUAGCUGGGCUGACAGGAUGACCAGCCACACGGGAACGGAAACGCGGUCCGGACUCCAACGGGAGGCAGCAGUGGGGAAUAUUGCACAAUGGGCGCAGGCCUGGUGUAGCCAUGCCGAGUGUGUGAAAAGGGCCUUCGUGUUUGAGAGCAAUUUCAGCGAUGAGGCGUUACUCGCAGAAGAAGCACCGGCUAACUCCGUGCCAGCAGCCGCGGUAAUUC
rnacentral:rRNA from 1 species